UUUAAGAUUAUAUAUCAUGUUUUAUGAACUAAUGCUGGAACUCAGCAAGAAAGAAGUAAAGAAUUAAAGAAGUUAAAGAACUUAAAGGAGUAACCAACUCACCAUGUUUAAAAAAUUCUGACUAAAUCACAAUUUGAUACUUCAGGGUUAUUAUAAAUGUUUAGCUUUUCUGAGAGCAACAAAAAAUGACGAUGACUGUUCAGAACAACCACAUGACCAACAACACCAUAUAAAUGUUUUAUGGAGUAACAGUGAAAGAGGAACUGUGUAUCAGAGAGACAUUACAUCAACCAGAUAUCACAUCUAUGAGACUAUGAGGGUCAUUGGUUUACUCCAUUUUUCGUUUUAUGGGUUCAUUGUGAACACACAUGCUCUCCAGCAUCAGCGAGUCCGACCCAAUGGCAUGGCUAUUCUUCCCUGUGGUGACCUGAAGAUUGGGAAAGUGACCUGGAGCAGAGAUAUGAAAGGACAUCAAGUGUACAUCCUCAGCACUGAUAAUGGAGAGAUAAUCAGACACAUGAAUAAUAACAAUCACAGCUCAUUGCCAGAUCUGUCUCUGAUUAUCUGGUUUGCCUCAUUUUGGGAUGAAGGCUUGUAUUAUUGCAACGGGACACCAGUGGCAUGUCUAACAGUGAAACAAGCUGAUGGACAGAACACUGAAGAUCUGACUGAAUGUCUCAAAGGUGCUAGCCAUGUGAAUGUGAUGGAGCAAGUGUUGAUGUUCGGCGGUGUUGGACUGGCAGCUCUGAUGUUUCUCUUUGCUACUGCAGCUGCAGUGCAAGCUUUAUACUCUUCUGACAAUGUAAAGCAAAGAGCUCACACUACAGACCAUGCUCAAACAUCGGUGACUGAUAUGUAUUACAUUAACCUGAGAGAACAGCAAUGAAACUGAUUUAAGUCUUUAAGAAAGCUUUUGACAAAUAAAUUGUUUACUUUCUGAUAAGAUAAAGAACCACUGUUACUAUUGUUCAUACUUAGUGUUAGAUAUUUGAUUAAACCCCUAAUAAUAUUAAACUUCCACACCAUUUGUGCUAUGGACAUGAAUGAUACCUCAGAUCAUGCAGCUUGAGGAGGAGAGUGAGGAACAAUAAAGUGGGAAAUGUGCAUAAAAUGGCAAAGACUUACAUUAAAGGACUCAUCCAUCUAAAAAAACAGAACAUCUUACUUUCAUAUGUGGGAUGAUGUGGGAUUACUCAACUGACGGUUUCAACAUAUUGUGAUAACAUAAAAUUCCUUUUUGAGAACUUUUUUUUCUCUCCCCAUUUCAUGCUAUAUUUCACAAGACAACUCAGUGGCAAACAAGAAGCAUUGCAAAAAAAUAUAAACAAAUUCUAUAAACAAGAAGUUUACACUGAGUCAAUUACAUUUUAGACACUUUGUGGCAUCUUUAUUCUUGGUUGCUUCCUCUUGGUUACAUCAUUGAUCUGAUGACACAAAGUUUUAUAUCAGCUCCAUACUUACUGUCUUCUCCCCACAAGCUCUUUAAAUGCCUGUAUGAAUUACAUCAAAAUGACCAGCAUUAUCAAGGGAAACAAAACAAAAAUGUAUUACUAAUUGAUUCCAAAAAUCAUACUAUUUCUCAUUCUGAUUUGUCUGUUGACAUCGAUGGCUUACUGAUCAGACCCCGUUCUACAGUUCGUAACUGCUCUCAUAUCUCCCCUUCUCUAAAAUGUUGGACUAGACUGCGCCAAAUUUUUUAACUGGGUACUGACUGAUCAGUAUCAAUGCAGCCUAAGUAAUUAUAUAAAAGUGUAAAAGCAUUUGUACACCUAUAUGAAAAUGCAGAUGAGAUCAUUUUAACUGAACUAUCAUUUAAAAAAGCAACAACACAUUUUUAGUUCUUAGGUAUAUGUGGUUGUCACAUGUGCACUAAGUUUUUAAAAUAAGAUGAUUGUUGAAAGUUACAAACAUAAUUAUACUCAUAACUGCAGUUCUGAACAAAAUAGUGCUGUUAUAGCUUAUAUAUACAGUAGAUUACCUCUAGGGAGUGCACUCAUACCACCGCCAAAAAAUACAUGGAGUCUAAAUUGUUUGUCUUUCAUAAAAUCAAAAUAGAAGAGAGAAAUACAUAGUUGUUGUGCUUAUUGUCAUGAUGACUUUCGUCACUUUCAUUAUGAAUAAAUCAUCUUAAUGAUGUUAUAAAAUUAAUCUUCUUGCACCAGACACGUGUUUGGAAGUAUAUGAACUAAACUCCACUAUGAUAUAGGUUUGUGUGAUGUAAACAUUUGUGAAAGAAAUGAAAAUGAAUAAAAUCUGUGUAGAUAGCGGCAGUUUUAUUAUUAUUAUUAUUAUUACAACAAUCAAAAGGAGCCCUUUCUCAAUAAUUACAUCACACUUUCACAACUUCUCUUUUUUUUGGUUUUUGGUUUUGGUAGUUUCAGUUUAUUUCACAUUCAAAAUGCACUGAAACUACCAAAACACAUCAUACAUCUCAGAGCUUUAAUAACCGAAAACAGGGCAGUCUCAGUUGAGUGUCCAUGUUUGAAACCAGACUGGUUGUUUGUCCAGGAGCUUGUUCUGUCAAAAGGUAGAACAUGACUCGUUCAAGUGUCUUAGUAAAUAAUGGUAGAAGGGAUACCAGUCUGUAGUUUUCUAAAAGAGCUGGAUUUAGAGUGGGUUUUUUAAGCAUUGGGGUUAUCCGAGCCUGCUUAAAUGCUGUGGGAAAGGUACCAGUGUGAAGAGAGUUGAUGAUGGCGCGAGCUGGCCUGGAUGAAAGGGGGGAAAUUUGUUUAAACAAGAUGUUAGAGUGGAGAAAAGUUCAUCAGUAGCACUUGGCACUUGUCCUUGCCCAGUGGACUAGCAUAGGUAGACUUGCUGGUCGUCACAACAAGGGACUAUACUAACUAAUUAUAUACCCGCCUGAUUCAGCAUUAUUGAAUUCAGCAGGACAUGCCUUACUAUUUAACAAAACAAAAGGGGCUAUGUUAGCUCAGCCAAACUGAAAAGCCACACGGCACAGCACGAGAACAAAUGUGACUUCAGCAUGUGUUUGUCAGAGAUCAGCCAGGCUCCAUCACCACCCAGUCACAGAGAUCACAGUCACUCCAUCGCCAGUGGUAUCCAGUCCCGUGGCCACAUCAAUGCCCUACUCUGGCUCGAUGGAGGAUUGCGACGGAUUUCUUCUUCAGUGUUUGCUGGCCCUAGAGAUGCAGUCACACCGGUUCAUCACCAAAAGAGCCAAAAUAGCCUUCAUAAUCACCCUGCUGAGGGGACGAGCGGUUCACUGGGCCCAAACCAUCUGGAAUCAAAAUUGAUUGUCAUGCAAACACUGAGUAAUUUCACCACUCAUUUUUGUGAAGUUUUUGGGGUUCCUGAUGGCGAUUCUUCUGUUGGUGAGCAAUUAUAUCAUCUUUCUCAAGGGAAAAUGUCUGUUUCUGAUUAUGCUCUUCAGUUCAGAACCCUAGCAGCGGCCAGUGGCUGGAAUGAGUGCUCACUCAUCACCACCUACUGGCAAGGAUUAAAUCCCUGGUUUUGACUGCAUCUGGCUGGACACGACGAUGCCAUCGGGCUAGAACGGUUCAUCCAUCUCUCCAUCCGCACCAAUCGUUGUAUGCAGCCCUGCCUGGAAGACCUACAGGGCCAGCCUUCACCACCACGUCCUCGCCAGCCAGAGUAUACUAGCUCUCCAGAACCAGAAUCCAUGCAACUGGAGAAAUGAGCGGCAGAGGAGGCUGACCCAGGGUCGUUUGUCUCUAUUGUGGUUCUGGGGGACAUGUUAUCACUGCCUGUCCCAGGGGCAGAUCUAGAAAAUUAUUUAUAUGGUGGCAUGAGGUCUAUGAGGGGUGGCAACACCAAAGCAAGCGCCCAUGCAUAGUUUUUGGAGAUUUAUGGCCUGACAUACACAAUUGCGUUCACAAACAUUGCAUUACCACAAAGUAGUCAUCUAUACUGUUUAAAAUUAAAAAUAAAUAACAAGAUUUCAAUAUCCAUCAUGGCACCAAGUCAAGACACUAUACGAAAAACAUCAGCAGAUUCUAAAUUAGUCUAAGCUUGUAUCACUAAAGGAGAUGAGCAGUUUUAUUAAUAUUACACAGGCUACUUCAAUGGUAUAAAUCACAUGUUUUAGUGCAAGUUAAAGAACAACAAAAACUUGUUUUUUUGCGAACAAUUUUUGAGUUUCUGUUAUUAACAGAGGUGGGAAUGUCUGUGUGUGUUCACCCAGAACACCCUAUCAACUACAUACUCAGGCAACACCCCAGCAACUGCAUAGCAAGAGCCUAGAAACCACCUAGCAACACUUUAGCAAUCACCCAGAACAUCUAUAUUCUGGCCGAACUGACCAAACUAUUUAUGUUUUUUAAACAAGACUUUAAGUUGGCUUUAUGACAAGCCAGCAUAAAUUUGUCUUUCAAACUUUUCAGUCUUAUUGUUUUUCUUGAUUGCUAACGCACAAUUCAUGAAACAAUUCAACAUUUUCUCACAACUAUAAACACAAUCUCAAAACUAUACACCAACUUGUACAAACCUCAAGCUUCCAGGUCAAAAUAAAUGUUCUAGUCAAAAACUUAUUCUUGUCUGACAAAAUCAAACUUUGGCAUCAGAUGACACACAAAACUUAACAAAUACACAGACUAGGCCUACUGCACUGCCCAGUGAACACUAGUCAGAUCAAUUCAUAUAACACUGUAACAAAAACCUUAUUGGGAUUCAGGAAUUAUUUUGCAGCUCAAUGUCUACUACACUAUACAAAAAUAAAUUUACAGAUGCAGAUACAGCAAAAUACAGCAAUGACCUUUUGGAGGGAAUUUUUCUUUUUCAUUUUACUAUUGUAAAGUGAUCUUGCAGUAGAUGAAAAGCAUGAGAAAAAUAUGUAUGAACUUGGUAUGCACCACAGUAAAUUCAGCAUUCUCUGAACAUUUGGCUAAAUUUCAUUAAAGUAGCUAUAUACAGUACUAUAGCAGUGUAUUGGUCUUCUGACACAAGACUAUAUCCUUAGGCAGUCAUUUCUCAGUUUUGCAAAAAUACAGUAGGCUACACAUAACAAAUGGCUACAAAGAAAGUUGACAAUCACAAGUUUGAGGGUGUACAACUUGCUACAGUUUACUGUACACAGAAUAGUGAAAUUUCCCUCAUCUAAAGCUACUAGUAGGCCUACUGUGUAAGUUUAAAACCCCGAUAAAUUAUUCUUUCAGCUCUCUCUCAGAUUUUGACUGGUGUGUCAUCAGUCUUGCUACCUAAUGUUGUCAUUGUUAAACGUUUUGAUAAAUGUGUCUUUGUUUUGAGAACUGAUGGUUUGGGAAACUGGGCCCGGCCAACUGAAUCACUUAUAAUGUGUUAGCAAUCGAGAAAAGCUAAAAUACGUUUAGAUUCUUACCUAACUCUGCUAUUAGUUUCUGUGAUCGGGAUCUUCUUAUUGAUUUCAUAUUAUUGUUUCGUUGGAUGACAAAAAGACCUUUAUCCAUGAUGAAAGUGGAGCGGGCGGUGAAUCAGCUUGCCAAAAAAUUACGAAAAUGAAUCUCAGACAUAUUCAGAUAGGAUUACAUUUCUCACAGGACUUCUGAGUUAGCCGGGAAGCAGUAAUUUUCCGAUUCACGAACAAAUGGGGAAAAAAAAUUUGUACGUGAACUUGGCUGUGCUGUGUGUUUUUGAACCGGUUCAUAAGAGUCAUUUGUUAAUGAAGCUGACUACACUGGGCGCGCUGCACGCAACCAUCAUGCACAUUGAAAGACAUGUUUCUUGCCAUUAUUUUGCAUUAAGCUGUCUUUUUUAGGUCAUCACAUUGAAGCCGCUGUUGAAAAGCAGUACUUGAAACACUGCUUACAUUUAUAUUUUAUUCUGUGAUAAUUUUGGGGUGGCAAAGCUUUUUCUUAGGGUGGCAGUUGCCACCCCGUGCCACCCCGGUAGAUCCGCCAUUGGCCUGUCCCAUUCAUCCACCAAGACCUAUGGUGAGUGUCAUCCAUUCAGUGUCUGUUAAUACGAAGCCACUUACUACUGAAGUUAUUCUUACUGCCUCACGUCUCCCAUCCAGUACGUUCUCCUCGACUCUGGGUCAGCUAGAAACUUAAUCUUCGAAUCCCUCUGCCGCCAGCUCAACCUCAAGAAGAGGCCCAUUGAGACUCAUUACCAGGUCCAGUCGAUCAUCGGCAAACCCUUAAACAAGAGGAAUGUGCGCCAUGCUGUAGGAGCUGUCCAGUUGCAAAUAGGACCGUUGCACACCGAAUCCAUCGUCUUCCUGUUUCUGGAGAAUUCCACCGCUGGUAUAAUUCUAAGGCGCCCGUGGCUAGUGCAACAUGACCCCGUUCUCUCCUGGAACACCGGUGAAGUCCUGAAGUGGGACGAUAGCUGUUUUCCCGGAUGCUUCCUCAUCCAGUGAAGCCUCUCUCAGUCAACACCACCUCCAUCGAGAGCCCGGUUGAACCAUAAUCCAUGGAGAUUCCAGCCUGCUACGCCCCCUUCAGUGACGUAUUCUGCCCCAAACAGGCAUUGUCGUUGCCUUCACACAGGCCAUGGGACUCUGCCAUCAACCUCCUUCCGGAUGAGCCAGUGCCCCACAGUAAAAUUUAUUCACUAUCUGCCCCGACUGCGCCAUCUCCAAAAGCCCACGCCAUCUUCCAUCUGGCAAACUUCUUCCCUUGCCCGUACCACAGCGCCCUUGGUCACACCUAGGAGUAGACUUUGCCACCGACCUAUCUCCAUCUGAAGGUAACACACGUAUCCUAGUCAUUGUUGACCGAUUCUCUAAAUCCUGCUGUAUGAUUCCUCUGAAGGGCUUACCUACUGCCAUGACAACAGCGGAACUUCUCUUCAAUCAUGUAUUCCGAUACUAUGGUAUCCUAGAGGACAUUGUGUCUGACAGAGGCCCACAAUUCAUUUCCCAGGUAUGGAAGGAUUUCUUCAGGCUCCUAGGUGUGACCGUCAGUCUGUCAUCAGGGUACCAUCCACAGUCGAAUGGGCAAGCAGAGAGGAAGAUUCAGGAGAUUGGGCUCCUGUUUACUUUACCUGCCACGUCCAAUAAACUCUCAUAUUCAUUGCUACAUCGUUGUGAGUCCGUGUUCCGUAACAGUGUUACCACAGUAAACGAAACAAUGUUUCCACCACACGUACGAUAUUCCUUGAUGGACAUCAUCUUUUCUUCCUGCCGGAACGAAGAAGGGAGGUGGCGAAAGAAAGCACUGUCCUCUUAAAGGCAAGAUCAACGGCAAGAAGAAUUCAAUGAUUGCUUCAUGAAGGAGAAAGAUUUUGAGGCAAAGGCACUGAGAGCCGAGCAUAUAGUGAAUGGCUUUGCCCAUAUUUCGUGCUCUGUCACCAUUGGCAAGUAAUUUUUAAUGCCGCAAUGCAGUCAGACUUCAGUAUUUGAGGAAGGAGUGGGAUAAUCCACAGUGCAACAGAGUGACAGUGACAAGACAAGACACAGAUAAUAAAAAGAACAAUAUACAAAUAUACAGACAAUGUGCAAAAUAGCAAAGACACAAUAUACAAAUUAAAAUAAAUUAAAAUAGGCAAUUUACUAUGUACAGAUAUGUUAGGUGUAAAUUAGAAAUGUAAAGAAGUAUGUGUGUUAAAUAAAUGAAUGUAUAAUAGUGUGUAUGUGUGUAUGUGUGUUGUGUGUUCCUUGUUUAUUGUCAAGUGUUCAUGAGAUGGAUUGCCUGAGGGAAGAAACUGUUCCUGUGUUUGGUCGUUCUGGAGCUCAGGACUCUGUAGCGUCGACCAGAUGGCAACAGUUCAAAGAGGGAGUGUGCUGGAUGUGAGGGGUCCAGAGUGAUUUUGCCAGCCCUUUGCGCACUCUGAAUAAGUACAGAUCUUGGAGAGUGGGGAGGGUUGUACCAAUGAUUCGCUCAGCAGUACGGACUAUCCGACGUAGUCUUCUGAGGUCAGAAUUGGUAGCUGAGUUGAACCAGACGGUAAUUGAAGUGCAUAGGACGGAUUCAAUGAUGGCAGAGUAGAACUGUUUCAGCAGUUCCUGUGGUAGGUUGAACUUCCUCAGUUGGCAGAGGAAGUACAGCCUCUGUUGGGUCUUUUUCACAAUAGAGUCUAUGUGAAUGUCCCACUUUGACUUUCCAGUGCAUUUUGUUAUCUUUAUAAAUACUUUUACAACAUGAAUAAUGUUUUAAAUAAAAAAAUGUUCAAUAGAGAAAUAUGCUAUGAUAAAAAUGUGAAAAGUGAUUCUUUUAAAUACCAAAACCCCCAGUAGAUGAUGGUAAGUCACUGUCGUAAUGCGUGAGUCAUCAAGUCAUUUGUUCAGUGAAGCAAGUGGCUGUAUUUAUGAAUGAAACAUUGAACUUUGACGAAACACCGCUGUUGAGUUCUGCUGUGGCUUUCAUUGGAGCUAUUUGUUGCAAAAUAGAGCAAAUACUGACAAUACUGUGAAGAACAUCACUUAUUAUUAGCCUUUUGUUUGUUGAAAUGUCGUAUAAAAUCAAUGUCACAUUUGCAAAAGUGUGGAUAUUUGGAUUUGCGUUCUUGAUCGUAUAAUAUUAUCAACAUUAAAAACAAGAACUCACAAAAGGUAUGUUUUGUAUCAAGAGUUUGAAUCUUAAAUUGAUCUCUAUGCACCUUUUGUGCCAGACUAUUUGUUCUUCGUGCUAGUAAGUGCUAAAUUUGCAGGUACAUUGUCGAGAACGGCAAUAAUGUAGCGUGGUUUGCUAAGGCAGCAGACUGCACACAACCUAUAUGCACCCAUAAGCACGCUGCUUAUGUGGAAAUGGAUGCAGUCAGUUUUGACAGCAAAAGAUGUGGUAUUUUGAUUGGAUGUCAUGCAUUUAUGGCAUUGUGCCUGUUAUUAAAACUGAGCAUGUAUUUUCUGUUAUUUUAAGGUGGAGAAGAAUUAAAUGAACGGCAAAAUUCGGCAUUUUGCUCACGUACCCCCUCCGUCAACUCACGUACCCCAGUUGGGAACCACUGCCAUAGUGCAUCUUGGUGCCAUGUGUUCCCCAGGUAAGCGACGCACACGCACCUGGCCAUCCACGUGAUGUAAAAGACAGGGCCAUGGCCGCCCAUGACCCUGUCGCCAGUUCACCACUGUUCCUUCUUUGGACCACUUUACUGACCACUGCAGACCGGGAACAUCCCACAAGAGCUGCAGUUUUGGGCAUGCUCUGACCCGGUCCUCUAGCCAUCACAAUUUGGCCCUUGUCAAACUUGCUCAAAUCCUUAUGCUUGCCCAUUUUUCCUGCUUCUGUAAUGCUUUGGCCCAGAUAACGCUAGUUAAAUCUAUGGAAUAAAAGAGUUUGAAGGCGAAAAGUCUGUAUUCCACACGUUUAAUGGCAGGUCCACAGGGACACGCUCCUCACAUACAUGAGAGAUUGACUCUUUCUUAGCAUUACAAAUAAAAGUAAAGCAAAAUUAUAACAAGAUGAGAGAGCACAUUUUUUUCAUCUACCAUGGUACUCAUCACAUAGUCACGUAGUCCUUCUACGUCAUCACCGCAUAGCGUGCUUUGAGUGAAGUGAUCAGUCUCUUAAAAGGCACAACGCACAAUAAUGUGAUGCAUGUAAAUACAUAGUUUAGGCUGUUACACUUCUAACACAUCAGCUUUGAGGACAAAGUGUUCACUUGCUGUCUAAUAUAUCCCACCUAAUAACAGGUGCCGUGAUGAAGAGAUAAUCAGUGUUAUUCACUUCACCUGUCAGUGGUCAUAAUGUUAUGCCUGUUAUUGGGUGGGAUAUAUUAGGCAGCAAGUGAACACUUUGUCAUACCUUUUACAUACCUUUUAAAUUGUAUUUUUACAUUAACAAGUCAAUCUCAUAAAGUUAGUGUUUAAGCAUUUUUAUGUUUAUUCCAAUAUAAUAACUAAAGGCAGUAACAAUUUAAACAAUAUAUUUUAUUUGUGCAUUGAUGUUCAGCUGUUCUUUUUAAUAGUCAACUUAGGCUAUUUCGGAUCAUCAUUCAUGCUCGGUAAACACUGUCUGUCACAGACACAAAGAUGUAGCUAUAAUUUCACCAAGCUGAUUGCACUAAAACCCCCCGUAGUCAUCAGGUUUUCAGGUCUUUUCAAGUUUAAUUAUGACGUGACAUAAAGCGGUGAUAUCUAAGUGGCUGAGCUGUUUACUUACUUUUCAAUUAGUCUUCCCUUGACGCCCUCAUUUUGUUCAUUCAGACUGACACACGUAACACGCACAUAAACAAGAGGCGGGAUUUAUAGCACAAACCAAUCAUAACCAAUUUCAUCCAAUCAUAGCGCGAUGAAGGCAUUGCCUCCUCUCACGUGACCUUCCCCCAUUCAUUCUCAGUUAUCCCUCACAAAACCCACUGGAUGCUUUAGGGGGUCUAUUGGUUUUCUAUGAGGGGAAGGGAGGCACGAGAGAUGCAGACUCCCGCUGUAACUUUACCUGCGGGUGUUGCUGUUGGACAGUGUUCCUUUAGAAAUACGAGUGACUUACACACUUUUUAAUGUCACAUUUUGUAAUAUUUGCUUUGUUGUAUUUUUGUAAUAUGGAUUACUUUCUCAUUCUAUUUUUUUGAGGAGGAACUGCCUCCCUUGCCGCCUCAGAGGAAACACCCCUGAUAUAUAUACGGUUUUACAAGCGCACACACCUAGCGCAUGCACAGAAAACCAGCUGUCACAGCACGUGUACUAAACUGAAUUAUCUGUAGCAUCUUAAUGCAUUUAAAGUGUCAAAAAAUUAAAAAAAAUUUAGUGUCAAAAAAUUUAAAGAGUCAAAAAAUUUUAAGUGUCAAAAAAAAAAAAAAAACAAGGAAAACAAUACAAAAUAAAUUUUAUUUACAAAGACAGAUGUGUGAUAUAGUGCAAGAAUACGGAUGUAAUAUUGCAACAAAAUUUAUAUUUUUGUGCAAAAGAUAAACAACUUAAGCUCAUUCAAGAGCAUUUGUAGUAAUGUAAUAUUACAAAAUAACAAUUAAUAAUAAUAAUCUUUACAAACAAAUUCCUUGGUUAGUGAGGAACAUACAUUUAAGUGAAUGGGAUCAAAUUUUGAAGGCCAUAGGGUCAAGCCAUCAAACAGUAAACUGGACUAGAUCCAUAAAGCAACAGAAUGAACACAAAGAGGUCUGAGACUACAUUCAUACUUAAGUGGACCAAAAAAGGAUCUGAGUCUUCUUUCAGGGACAUGGACAGUGUGAACGUAAAGAGAACUGGGUCCUUUUUCACUUGGUUCACCUUUUGGUCCACUUAAAGUGGUAUGAGUUUGGUUCUUUUACAGAGAGGACCCAAGUGUGAAAUCACCCUUAGACAUAAAUUUUAUAAUAAGGGUGUUUUCACACUUGGGUCCUCUUUAAAAGAACCAAACUCAGACCCCUUUAAGUGGACCAAGAUGUGUACAAUAUGUUUUACACAGAUUAGAUCCAUACCAUAAUUCAAGAAAUGAGAAAUCAUUCACACAUAUAGUAAAGAAGACACACCUCCAAUAAACCAUUCAAUAUUUAGUAACAAAUGCAUGAAUUAUGUGUGAUCUAAGCAUACUAGUCACAUAUAUAGGUUGUAGACAUGAUAUAGAAUUAUGCAGUUGAACGAUGUUUGAUUAUAAGUCCAUGGUGUAAAGUAUUUGAGUAAAUGUAUUUAGUUACUGUACUUAAGUAUCUUUUUGGCUACUUUGUAGUUGUACUGAGUAUCAAAGAUAUUAGCAACUUUUAAUCUCUACUUGACUACAUUUUUGAACAAGUAAAUGCACUUUUUACUCCUAUACAUUUGUAAUGAGUAAUGCAAUUACACAUUACAUUUUGCAUGGCACCUAACUUUUUCUGCAGUACUUUGUUUCUGCUAUAAAGAAGCGAUAUCGCCAUCUAAGGGCAUUGAAGGUACUAUAUCUUGUGAAUUUUGCCUUUACUCACCCAAACUUGUCAACAAGGCUACUUUACAUGAAUGCGAGUGCAUUAGCAGGUAGUUGUGAACCGCAGGUGUUUGAUUUUUAGCUCAGCCGGUGAUGAGGCUGAAACCAGCACAUCAAGUGAAAGUAGACAUACUUUUUUAUUUUAUUUAUCCACUAUAUUGAUGAGACAUUUUUGAAGGAUAUUGGUUUACUUCUGGCCUUUUUGUGCAUUUGAGCUUAACUGAGACCUGAGUGUUUGUAGACGUUUAAGAGGCUGUUGUGUCGACCUUGAUUUAUUGCAAUAUUGAGGUGUUCAGUUUUAUUUUUAUUUUAGAAAAUAAACAUCUUACAAAUCAAUUGUUUCUUAUUUUCACCGGCAUGUCUCUUAGGUGUUGAGGACUUGUGCAUCUUUGAGCCUAUUAUUAGUAAAAUACUCAAGUACUGUUAAAAUCAGAUACUCUAAGACUUUUACUCAAGUUCUAUUGGAAUUGGUGACUUGUAAUGGAGUCAUUUUCACUGUAAGGUAUCUGUACUUUUACUCAAGUAUGGCUUUAAGGUACUCUUUACACCUCUGCGUCUAGUAUUGUUUUGUAAUGAUCUGUCCUGCAUUUAAGGGAGAAGUCAGAGGUCUUCAAAAAGGUGGUCUGUUUUAGGUCUGUCUUGGGAAAUAAUUUUUCUGAAAUGUAAUGAAAUAUGUGUUGCACAUGAUGGAAAAAGUUAGUGCAUGUUCUUUUUAUGAUUUAGGGAGCCUCAGACAUCAGCAGUGUUUUAUAAUCAUUCAUCACAAGGUCUUAUACUAUGAUAAACUGCUUUCUCAUAAUUAUUCAUGACACCACUUCUGUCUGCCAUACUAAGGCAGAAUAAAGACUGUUAGAGACGUACCACAAUUGUUCUACUUGAAAUUAAACAUUGCCUCCACUUUUAUUUUUUGAAGUGAUAUGCUUGUUUUACACUGAUUAAUGUAAACCAUUUACAAUCUCAAACAAAUUAAAGAAGACAUGGUCAAAACAUCUACAUGAAUAAUGUUACAGACAAUAACAAGAAAAAAACCCACUAAACUAAAAUUCAAUAAGCAUACUAUGUUUGCACCUUCUAAAGAACCAUCACCAAUGAUAAUGUGAAGCUACAGAUUCCUCUGUGGUAUGCAUGUACGUACGUACGUACGUGUGUUUGCGCAGUGUCAUUCUUUCACUGAGUAACGUCUAUACCUGAAAGAGCUGAAUAUUUCACCAGGAAACCUAAUAAACUUAAUGUCAAAGACAAAGCACACAUUGCUUUAAAAAGAAUCACAAACCUUUAUUGAACAGUGAACAGCAGUCAAAUGACUUAAUGAUAACAUACUGAUAUUUCUUAAAAAGCAAUCUACUGAUAAGCAGAAGCAUUUGCUUCAGUGACUGGAAACAAUACAUCUUGGGAACAUAUUGGUCAAUGUCAAAGAGUCCCCACAUUUCAAUCCCAUCCAUAUCAGUAUAAAGAACCAAACAUGAUUUUGGUCCAUAGGUUGGUUCAUGUGCCUAAAAUGAUUAAGUGAUCCAUUCAUGUUGGUCUCUGGGUAAAUGAGUGCAGUUCUCGCUUUACAUUCUUUUACUCUCUUCCUCAUUCAUUCUGUUUUUUUUUGUUUUGUUUUGUUUGUUUUUGUAUUUUAUUCUGUGGUCUAUGUCACCAUUCAUCUCAAAACA